CAGAACAUCUCAGAAAACAUUAACAGAAAGAAGCAAAGCCUGAAAGACAAAGUCCAGACUUAAAGAACUAAACCAGAACCAGAAAUCCUCUGGAACCACAUCAUGGGGAGCAGAAACAGCUUUAAAAUGAACUGACAGGCAGCUUGAGGGGAGGAGGGAGAGCUGGUGGUGUGAAACCAGUCUGAGACUCAGUUACAAAACCAGUUCCAGCCACACUUCCCUGCUGGGAGCUCUGAGAUUCCUACUUCAAAUGAGCAGACCAGAACCUCCCCUUCCCCAUCUAAAAUCCAACAUGGCUGCUCUACAGGGAGGAACAUCGAUGCAAGAGCUUCAAAUGGUUCAUGGAGGAAAUAGCUUAUGACAUCCCACUGCACUACCCACUUCCUCCCAAAAAUGUUGAAUGGGGAGAGAAUUCCUAGGUGCAGCCGAGGUGUUCCGGUUUGGUGGCCUCAGGAUUGGGUCUCUGCUCUUUGCAGAUGAUGUGGUUCAGUUGGCUUCAUCUUCAGCUCUCAAGUGGAGGAGUUCACGUAUCUCUGGGUCUUGUUCACGAGUGAGGGAAGGAUGGAGCCGGAGACCGACAGGCGGAUCGGUGCGGUGUCUGCAGUGAUGCGGACUCUGCAUCGGUCUGUCAUGGCGAAGAAGGAGAUAAUCCAAAAGGCAAAGCUCCCUCCCUCCUUUUCAACCCGUCUCCAUUUCCUUUGUUCUUUAA